rnacentral:rRNA from 1 species
AUUGAACGCUGGCGGCAGGCCUAACACAUGCAAGUCGAGCGGAUGAAGCGAGCUUGCUCCUGGAUUCAGCGGCGGACGGGGGAGUAAUGCCUAGGAAUCUGCCUGCUCUUGGGGGAGAACGUCCUGAAACGGGCGCGGAUACUGCAUACGUCCUGAGGCAGAAAGUGGGUGAUCUUCGGACCUCACGCUAUCAUGUGAGCCUAGGUCGGAUUGGCUAGUUGGUUGGGUAAAGGCCUACCAAGGCGAGGAUUCGUAACUGAUCGGACAGGAUGGUCGGUCACAUGGGAGGUUAGACACGGUCCAGACUCCUGCGGGAGGGCGCAGUCGGGAAUAUUGGGCAAUGGGGGAGAGCCUGAUCCAAGGAUGGGGCGUCUGUGACGAAGGUGUCCGGAUCGGAAAGCCCUUCAAGUUGGGGGGAAGCGCAGUAAGUUAAGACGUUGCGGUAUUGACGUUACUAACAGAAGAAGCACCGGCUAACUUCGUG